rfam:Pseudooctadecabacter jejudonensis strain CECT 8397 genome assembly, contig: 0005
AUGACCGACGCCAAGGCAAUCGACGCGCAGUACGGCACUGAAAAGGCGCUGACGUCUCUGGCCGCAGCCCUCGCAGGGGGCAACCUCAUUUACGAAUCCA